GCGGAUGAGAGGAGCUUGCUCCUGGAUUCAGCGGCGGACGGGUGAGUAAUGCCUAGGAAUCUGCCUGGUAGUGGGGGACAACGUUUCGAAAGGAACGCUAAUACCGCAUACGUCCUACGGGAGAAAGCAGGGGACCUUCGGGCCUUGCGCUAUCAGAUGAGCCUAGGUCGGAUUAGCUAGUUGGUGAGGUAAUGGCUCACCAAGGCGACGAUCCGUAACUGGUCUGAGAGGAUGAUCAGUCAUACUGGAACUGAGACACGGUCCAGACUCCUACGGGAGGCAGCAGUGGGGAAUAUUGGACAAUGGGCGAAAGCCUGAUCCAGCCAUGCCGCGUGUGUGAAGAAGGUCUUCGGAUUGUAAAGCACUUUAAGUUGGGAGGAAGGGUUGUAGAUUAAUACUCUGCAAUUUUGACGUUACCGACAGAAUAAGCACCGGCUAACUCUGUGCCAGCAGCCGCGGUAAUACAGAGGGUGCAAGCGUUAAUCGGAAUUACUGGGCGUAAAGCGCGCGUAGGUGGUUCG
rnacentral:rRNA from 1 species